AUUGGGAUGGCAGAGCUCGGUAAUUGCAAAAGGCCUAAACCCUUCAGCCAGGGGUUCAAGUCCCCUUCCCAAUU
rnacentral:tRNA from 1 species